AUGACAAUUUCAUCCGAGAAAAAACAUGUUGCAGUUUAUGUUUUUCCAUUUGGAAGCCAUCCUGUUGCACUCUUAAACCUUCUCCUCAAACUAGCACAUGCUUCACCAAACACACUUUUCUCAUUCAUUAGCACCCAAAAAUCUAAUGAACCUCUUUUUACAAAACCAAACAUCCCAAAUAGCAUCAAAUUUUAUAGUAUUCAUGAUGGUGUUCCACAAGGUCAUGUACUUGGUUCCAACCCUGUAGGUGUUUAG